CACGAAGUUAGCCGGGGCUUCUUCUCCGACUACAGUCAUUAUCUUCAUCGGUGAAAGAGCUUUACAACCCUAGGGCCUUCAUCACUCACGCGGCAUGGCUGGAUCAGGCUUGCGCCCAUUGUCCAAUAUUCCCCACUGCUGCCUCCCGUAGGAGUUUGGGCCGUGUCUCAGUCCCAAUGUGGCUGAUCAUCCUCUCAGACCAGCUAUGGAUCGUCGCCUUGGUAGGCCUUUACCCCACCAACUAGCUAAUCCAACGCGGGCUCAUCCAUCUCCGAUAAAUCUUUCCCCAAAAGGGCGUAUACGGUAUUAGCACAAGUUUCCCUGAGUUAUUCCGUAGAGAUGGGUAGAUUCCCACGCGUUACUCACCCGUCUGCCACUCCCCUUGCGGGGCGUUCGACUUGCAUGUGUUAAGCCUGCCGCCAGCGUUCGUUCUGAGCCAGGAUCAAACUCU
rnacentral:rRNA from 1 species